rnacentral:rRNA from 1 species
AUGGACUUGACGCAAGAAAGGUCUUCGGUGCCACGGUACUUCUCAGAUCAUCAUGCAGGCGUUCUUUUGAAGAGGAACUUGUCGCGUCCCAAAAAUGAGCAAGGAAAAAGCCUUCGUUCAACGAAGCUCGGCUUGACGAAAUCCACAAACAGGACUUGGCGCGGGCAUGACGAUGCAAAGAAAGCGUGCGGCGGAUGCUGCUGUUCAUCUGUUUCGAGCAGAGGCGAGGCCAUGGUGGAUGCAGACGACGAUGCAGCAGUAGACUUGACACAGGGGAGCAGCAGAGGGACUCCGGUGAACAGCAUGAUGCAGGUUGGGCGGCGGAGCUUGCCGGGUCUAGGCGAGGUCGCCGCCAGCAGCAGCUUGGCAUGA